AAACCGCAUCAGUGGUGAUUUUUAUGCUUGGAAAUUUGACUGUCAUCCUACAAUGGCAUCAUGGAAGCCAGAAGAAGGUAACGUUGAUUGCUGCUCUUGGGACGGAGUUCAUUGCAAUAAGAACACUGGUCAUGUCAUCAAGCUUGACCUCUCCCAUAGCUGCCUUUUUGGUUCUAUCAACUCUAGCAGCAGCCUUUUCAAGCUUGUCCAUCUUGAGUGGCUUAAUCUUGCUUUGAAUGACUUCAAUUCCUCCGAAAUCCCACCAGAAAUCAUCAACCUUUCCAGGUUAUCAUACUUGAACCUCUCUGGAACUUCUUUAUCUGGCCAAAUACCAUCAGAAAUUCUAAAGCUCUCCAAUUUGGUGUCCCUUGAUUUAUCACUAAAUGAUGUUCCUGGCGGUAGACUUGAACUCCAGAAGCCUAGUUUCGUAAAUUUAGUCGAGAAGUUAAGCAAUCUAAAAACACUUGACCUUGGUGAUGUUUCUAUUCGGUCAAUGAUACCUCAUAACAUUGCAAAUCUAUCUUCUUCGAUGAUUAUUUUUCUUCGAAACUGUGAAUUGCAAGGUAAUUAAAUUUUAUAUAUUUUCUCCUUAAUUAAUAUACAUGCAAUGUUAAAUUCAUUAGUAAAAACUAUUAUUAUUUUUAAUUUUCUACUUAAGCAAUGUGUUCUUUUUUCUUUUUUAACAAAUUUCAGGAAGAAUUCCAUCCUCACUCGGUAAUCUAUCCAAGCUCCUUCAUUUAGACCUUUCACUAAAUGAAUUACAGGGUGAGCUACCUGUUUCCGUUGGUAAUCUUCAUUCAUUGGCUUCCAUGAGCCUUUGCCACGUCCUAGUCAUACAGACAAUACACAUGCAAUACACGCAUGUUUUUGACUCCAAAUUAGCAAUAUUAACAUCCAUCCAUUAUAAUGAUAUGGGGAAUUCAACUUUAGUUGUCUUAGAACGGCGUUCAUAUUUACAUCUCUCCUUCCUCAUUCCUGUCUAAGAAACUAAAAAAUAAUUUUCUGACACGGAUGGUCCACUGGAAAUUUUAGUUCUUUGAAGUUAUUAGAUCUAAGGUCAUGUAGUUUUUGGGGCAAAGUUCCACAUUUGAUUGGUAAUUUCACCCAGCUACAAUAUUUGCUUCCCUAAACCACUUGACUGAAAUCGAGCUUGCCAUCACCUAAGAUUGAUUGAUUCUCGAAGACUUCUAAUUCUAGUCUUGAGUCUUCAUCGAGCCUUGAUCGUCUGUUGAUAAUGAUUUAUGACGACUUAUAGUGAAGCCGACACUAUAAAAUGAAAUAUUUUUAAUUUUAGUAAAUCCAAAUUUCAUUAAUUUUUCAGGGGUUUGUGUCGGAUUAACACCUAAUUUUAACAAGUUAGAUGUUUUACUUACUAGCUGGAAAAAUUUGGAAUUUUUUGCUCUCUCAUUAAAUAGGUUGUCAAUCUAAUUACUAGUCUCGAGUCUCUGAAAAUCAUGUCAAUUUUAGUAAAUCCAAAUUCAUUAAUUUAUCUUGUGUUUGUGUCUGAUUAAUUAGUUAAUCGUGCCGAAAUUGUCACUUCUACUAUUAUGACUUUGUUUGCAUUAAAAUUAAUUUAAUUAUCAUCUUUUUUCACUUUUUUUUUUAAUUUAAUAAACCUCGGUUAAGGAAUGGAAUUCACCAUUUAUCGCCAGUUGUUUGUAAGAUUUGUUUGAAUUUUGAGCUGAUAUCAUAUCCAAAUAAUAUUUAUCAAUUUUUUUUUAAAUUUCAAGUGGUCUGGACCACUUCGGAAUUAUGUUUUUCAUUUUUUCAAACAAAAAUAAAAAUGAAUGUAUUACUCAUUUUGCUAUAAACGUAUUUUCGGUGGAAAUAAAAAUGAAUGUAUUACUCAUUUACUCAUGAAUUAAUCCUCACGUUUGCUAUAAACGUAUUUUCGGUGGUGACGGAAUGGUAAAAGUUUACGACAUCACAUCAAAUAAUAAAAAAUAAAUAUUAUUAAGACUAACUUUUUGUUGAAAAUUGAUUAAAAAAAAAGAGUUGAAAAAUCAAGUCUCCAAUGGGAGAAUGAAGAAAAGCAAAACCGCAAAAUGAACAGUAGCCGCAAAAUGAACAGUAGCCGUAAGAUGAACAGUAGCCGCAAGAUGAACAGUAGCCGCAAGAUGAACAGUAGUCACUGGUGGCUAUAAAUAGAGGAGUGCUCCUCCUUAUUGUUUGUAUCCCAAAUCCCAGAGAAGGAAUCCAAGUUUUGGUGAGAAAUUGAGAGAGAGAAAUGUUCUUAAGCAUGUAGUUAUAUUGAAGGAGAAGUUGGCUCCUCAAUAUGGGUAUUACGGGUUUGCUUUGUUAAGGGAUAUUUCUCGGGAUUAUGUAUUUGGGGCUUGGGUGAGAGAAAAAUUAUUUCUGAAAGUGGUUAUAAUAAUUUUCCACAUAGUGAAUAUUUUUCUCUGGUUGUCUUGUGACAACGGCCGUGGUUUUUCUCCGGAUUUGGAGUUUUCCACGUAAAUCUUGUGUUGUGUGAUUGGUGUAUUCUCCAUUUAAUUUUUCUUAUUAAUUUGUUGCUUGAUAAAUUGCUUGGAGAGAUCUUGGGAGGAAGCUCAAUUUCCUAACACUUUUGUUGACUUAAGAAAAUAAAAAAAGAGUCCAAUGACUAUAAUGUUUGAAUUGCUGCAAUUUGCCUAUAAAAGCAAACCAAGAUCCUCAAAUUUCUUCACAUCGCUCCAAAUGGACAAACGUCCAAUGAUAUACUUAGCACUUACGACUAGUCAAUGACAAUGAACAGCAAAGGGAGAAUGAUGACAUAUAACAAGAUUCCGGAUAUCCUAGCGGGAAUUAUUCUCUCAAACAAUAGUUUUGAUGGGGCGAUUCCAGCAUCGAUUGCAAAUUUAAAGGGACUUCAAGUUCUAAACCUCCAGAGCAAUAAUCUCCUGGGCCAUAUUCCGUCAUGUUUGGGCAAUCUAACAAAUUGUCAUUGCAAUAAGAACACUGGUCAUGUCAUCAAGCUUGACCUCUCCCAUAGCUGCCUUUUUGGUUCUAUCAACUCUAGCAGCAGCCUUUUCAAGCUUGUCCAUCUUGAGUGGCUUAAUCUUGCUUUGAAUGACUUCAAUUCCUCCGAAAUCCCACCAGAAAUCAUCAACCUUUCCAGGUUAUCAUACUUGAACCUCUCUGGAACUUCUUUAUCUGGCCAAAUACCAUCAGAAAUUCUAAAGCUCUCCAACUUGGUGUCCCUUGAUUUAUCACUAAAUGAUGUUCCUGGUGGUAGACUUGAACUCCAGAAGCCCAGUUUCACAAAUUUAGUCGAGAAAUUAACCAAUCUAAAAACACUUGACCUUGGUGAUGUUUCUAUUGAUUCAAC
rnacentral:lncRNA from 1 species